rnacentral:misc_RNA from 1 species
AACGCACCUUGCGCUCCUUGGUAUUCCGAGGAGCAUGCCUGUUUGAGUGUCGUGUAAUUCUCAAUCCCGUUUGGUUUUGAAUCGAACGUGGAUUGGACUUGGGAGCUUGCUGUGCCUGUUUCUUGGUUCGGCUCUCCUUGAAUGCAUUAGCUCGGUCACGUAGUUGCCCGACGGUUCACGGUGUGAUAGUCAUUCAUCGCCGUUCUGACCGUUUCGGUGCCUGUGUCUGCCGGCUUCUAAUCCGUGUGUUGUCCUUUGUUGGAUAAAUGCACUCUUUGACAAUUGACCUCAAAUCAGGUAGGAUUACCCGCUGAACUUAA